AGCUUUGCGCAGUGGCAGUAUCGUAGCCUAUGAGGUUUAUCCGAGGCGCGAUUAUUGCUCGUUGAAAACUUUACCCAAAAAUAAAAAUGAAAAUAAUAAUAUUGAUACUGAUAAGAAAGUAAUAACAUAUAUUA